UGAUAAUUAGUUUAAAAUAAAACAAAUGAUUUCGACUCAUUAAAUUAUGGUUACUUCCAUAAUUAUCAA
rnacentral:tRNA from 1 species